CGAGCCUAGAUUAUCUCCUCCAUCCUCCCGUUCCACUCUUACCCAUUUCCGCUUCACUGUCCGCCGGACGACGACCAAAUCCCCACGAAAUCCCUAGGGCUUCUCCGCGAGCACGGCCAGCGGGAGAGCCGAGGACAAAUUAAACCACGGAGAAAGACGACGGACCGGCGAAGGGUCCCGCAGCAGUUCGACGGGGUGAGGGCGGGGCGCGCCCGCCGGAGAAGGAGGAGAAGGUAGCAGCUACGGGAAGAUGGCGGGGGUGGAGCUGGUGGUUCUACGGGAGGCGGCGGCGACCCCGGGGGGAGACGUGAGAUCCUGCUGCUUCGACGACGAACCCGAGACACAAGGUGCAAGACAAUAGAGAAGAUGCAAUUCAAGAGUCAACAACUUUUAUCUAUAAUCCAGUUCUACAGGGUACAGGGGAUGCAAGAACAGGGGAGACAAGAUACAAGUCAAGGUCUGCAACACUUUUGUACAGGGGGGCAAUUCUUGCAACUAGAAGAUUAGGGGGGACGGAGGUACAGAGAGGGAAAUCAACUAGUUUUAGCAGUAAAAGAAGUUCAUGGCCAGAAAUUUCUGGAACAACACCUUUUUUACCUUCCCUGUUUUCACUGGGGGAAACUUGCCCAGCUACACCAAUUCUCUUGCCCACAAUUCUUCAGAUUUAUUGCCUGAUCAGCAUGAAGAAUUGCAGACACAUUUUUUUGGGCGUGUUCUGAUCUUUCUUCUCCA